rnacentral:rRNA from 1 species
AUUGAACGCUGGCGGCAGGCCUAACACAUGCAAGUCGAACGGUAACAGGAAACAGCUUGCUGUUUCGCUGACGAGUGGCGGACGGGUGAGUAAUGUCUGGGAAACUGCCUGAUGGAGGGGGAUAACUACUGGAAACGGUAGCUAAUACCGCAUAACGUCGCAAGACCAAAGAGGGGGACCCUCGGGCCUCUUGCCAUCGGAUGUGCCCAGAUGGGAUUAGCUUGUUGGUGGGGUAACGGCUCACCAAGGCGACGAUCCCUAGCUGGUCUGAGAGGAUGACCAGCCACACUGGAACUGAGACACGGUCCAGACUCCUACGGGAGGCAGCAGUGGGGAAUAUUGCACAAUGGGCGCAAGCCUGAUGCAGCCAUGCCGCGUGUAUGAAGAAGGCCUUCGGGUUGUAAAGUACUUUCAGCGGGGAGGAAGGGAGUAAAGCUAAUACCUUUGCUCAUUGACGUUACCCGCAGAAGAAGCACCGGCUAACUCCGUG